AGCUGCCAAAUGAAUCUGUGAGUCGCCUCGCUUUCCAGGUGACUCCUUGCUCUUCUUCCUGUCACCACCGCCAAUAAAACUAAGCUGCCUCUCCAUCACAGAACGAAAACUCUUCUGUUUCUCCAUAAACCCACGAAAACUUUUUUGUUUCUCAAGUGCCCCACGAAAGCUGGGAUGCUUUUCCAUUAAUCCACGGGAAGUGGAAUGAUUUUCUGUUCCACCACGAAAACUAGGGUGUUUUUCCAUCACUUUCUGUUUAA
rnacentral:misc_RNA from 1 species